rnacentral:miRNA from 14 species
ACAUUCUUUGUGUAGUACCCUACUCCAGAGAGCGUCAAUCACGUGUAAUUAAAUGUGAUUGACAUCUCUGUGAGUAGAGUAAUACAUGACAUGUAC